AGAGUUUGAUCCUGGCUCAGAACGAACGCUGGCGGCGCGUUUUAAGCAUGCAAGUCGAACGGUAAUCAGUGCUUGCACUGAUGAGAGUGGCGAACGGGUGAGUAACACGUAGGUAAUCUGCCUCUGGAUGGGGGAUAGUUCAUGGAAACAUGGAGUAAUACCGCAUAAUAUCCACGGAUCAAAGACGCAAUUGUGUCGUCUGGAGAUGAGCCUGCGGUUCAUUAGCUUGUUGGUGGGGUAAAGGCCUACCAAGGCAACGAUGAAUAGCCGGCCUGAGAGGGUGAACGGCCACAUUGGGACUGAGACACGGCCCAAACUCCUACGGGAGGCAGCAGCUAAGAAUCUUCCGCAAUGGGCGAAAGCCUGACGGAGCGACGCCGCGUGGACGAGGAAGGCCGAAAGGUUGUAAAGUCCUUUUAUAGAGGAGGAAUAAUGCAGAGAGUGGAAAGCUCUGCGGAUGACGUUAAUCUAUGAAUAAGCCCCGGCCAAUUACGUGCCAGCAGACGCGGUAAUACGUAAGGGGCGAGCGUUGUUCGGAAUUAUUGGGCGUAAAGGGCGCGUAGGUGGUUUUGUAAGCUCGAUGUGAAAGAUCCUGGCUUAACCAGGGGAACGCGUUGAGAACUGUAGGACUAGAGUUCAGAGGGGGAAACCGGAAUUCCUGGUGUAGGGGUGAAAUCUGUAGAUAUCAGGAAGAACACCGAAGGCGAAGGCAGGUUUCUAUUCAUGGACUGACACUGAGGCGCGAAAGCGUGGGGAGCGAACAGGAUUAGAUACCCUGGUAGUCCACGCUGUAAACGAUGUACACUAGGUGUAGGCUGGUUACAGUCUGUGCCGGAGCUAACGUGUUAAGUGUACCGCCUGGGGAGUAUGCCCGCAAGGGUGAAACUCAAAGGAAUUGACGGGGGCCCGCACAAGCGGUGGAGCAUGUGGUUUAAUUCGACGAUACGCGAGGAACCUUACCAGGGCUUGACAUGUAUUUGAAGUCUUAAGAGAUUAAGGCGACCAGCAAUGGACGGAUACACAGGUGCUGCAUGGUUGUCGUCAGCUCGUGUCGUGAGAUGUUGGGUUAAGUCCCGCAACGAGCGCAACCCUUACUGUCUGUUACCAGCAUUUCGGAUGGGGACUCAGACAGAACAGCCGGUGACAAACCGGAGGAAGGUGGGGAUGACGUCAAAUCAUCAUGGCCCUUAUGUCCUGGGCCACACACGUGCUACAAUGGUCAUUACAAAGCGUAGCAAAGCGGCGACGUGGAGCAAAUCGCAAAAAAAUGGCCUCAGUUCGGAUUGGAGUCUGUAACUCGACUCCAUGAAGUUGGAAUCGCUAGUAAUCGCGCAUCAGAAUGGCGCGGUGAAUACGUUCCCGGGCCUUGUACACACCGCCCGUCACACCACCCGAGUUGGGGGUACCCGAAGUCGUUAGUCUAACUUUUAGAGGACGGCGCCGAAGGUAUGCCUGGUAAGGGGGGUGAAGUCGUAACAAGGUA
rnacentral:rRNA from 1 species